AUACGGAGGGUGCGAUCGUUAAUCGGAAUUACUGGGCGUAAAGGGUGCGUAGGCGGCUUGAUAAGUCGGUUGUGAAAGCCCCGGGCUUAACCUGGGAAUUGCAUUCGAUACUGUCAGGCUAGAGUAUGUCAGAGGUUGGCGGAAUUCCUGGUGUAGCGGUGAAAUGCGUAGAUAUCAGGAGGAACACCAGUGGCGAAGGCGGCUAACUGGGACAAUACUGACGCUGAGGCACGAAAGCGUGGGGAGCAAACAGGAUUAGAAACCCUAGUAGUCC
rnacentral:rRNA from 1 species